AAUCAGUCAAGGUAUUGCGAAGUUACCUUGGACUGGCCAAACCUCAGUGGGCACAUUUUGAUUAUACUGGAUUUUCUUACAAUGAAAUGAAAGUCAACAGGGAAAAUAAUGAGGCGCUGUAAUGCUUUACCUUUCUUGUCUUUUAUAAUAAUUUAGUUCAAGCAGGCUUUGGGAAAAUCACACUUUUAUUUCAAGAUCCAAAAAAAUCAAUAUAGCAGUAUACAUUUAGUGCUUGAGGGAAAAUUUACUCAAAAUUGUUUCAUAAUGAAAAUGCCAAAGGCAGAUGCUUUUGUUCAAUCUGUUACUUUGAAGGGACCUUGUAAUCUCAAUUCCAAGUUAAAGACUUAUGGCUGUUGUAUCAAACAGAAGCAGAACAAGUACCUCUGCAAGUGAGGAAAUGUUAGGGAUGUGUGUACAGUAAUUCAAUUAAAAACAAAAUAAAAUAAACCAAACAGUAUUAGCACAUUUUAGCACAGGAAACCAUAAGUACUUUGGACUAACUGCUGACUGUACAAUACAUAAAAUACUUUCACUAGUUUAUCUACAAGCUUUAUCUGUUGUUCUUUGCUUAACCAGUGCCUUUCCAUCUGCGUGAACAAGGUCAUGGAGCAUCUCAGCCAGCAAUGCUCUAGCUUCCAAAAAUUUGGGGGAAUAAUCAAUGGAAAACAGAUCAAGCUGAUCUACGGAAAAAAUUGUGCACAGAUAAAUCAGCAUUUCCUUUUAAUUUUUGUGAUGGCGUGUAUGAAACUGAAUUUCUUUAGAUACUUAGGAGGUAGCCAAAACUUGUACUGAAAUAAUAUAUUCAAGUAAGGAUCUUAGACCUUGUUCCCCAGUUCAUGCUAUGACAAUAGUGGGUCAAGUUUUCUUACUACAAUACGAUGUUCUCAUUGCUGCCCUGUGCCCCUCAUGGCAGCCCCAGAUGAUCAGGUCUCUCACCAACUACUUUUUCCCAAAGCAGGAGAGAAGCUGAAGCACUGUGCAGCAGUCAGAAUGUAUUUACCUCUUCCUCUGACACUUGGCCAGAGCUGGAGGGCAGAAAGGAGAGGAGAUGCUCAUGUAGCACAUGCUGUCAUUACAGUGCAGUAGAAGCUAUGAGUACGCUCAGUGAUGCUGCUGAGACACUAAGAUUAUAAUUUUCCCUAUUUAAGAAGUACAUCAUUAUUCUCAUGUACACCCAAACUGCUGUGGCAAUUUUGAAGAUACCAAAAAUGCAAAAUCAGGCCUUCGAUGUGAGAGAGAACGUUCUUUACCAUGCAGGCGAACUGCUAGUGGGAGGUACGUAACAGUAAAGAUCAUUUUAAUCUUGUUAUAGAGGAAAAUGCUCUAAACAAAUCUCUGAGAUAUUAAGGUCUACUAUUGCAUUAUCUCAGUUACAGAGUAAAAAGCAGCAGAAAGAAAAAAAUCAGAAUUAUCUGUUUGCUAUAAAGCUGGUCCUGCACCCAGUCUGUUCUCAGUGUAAUUUCUAUGGUUAGCUUUUCAACUGGCUGCCUGUACAACUACCUUGCAAAUGAGUUUAAUUUGUGCAUAUAGUAGGAGUUUCAUUCUGUUGUGUCACGAGACAGAAAAACAACGUUUUAGGUAACAAACAGUAUAUUUUUUUUUUUCCCUAAGGAAUGAAGAAAUAGAGUCUUAUUUUCACUGAGAUUUAAUAUGAUACAGGUAACUCUUCUAACUCUUGCAGUUGUUUUGGGAAAGAGUAAAAUAGCCAAGGGUAAGAGAUGAGGAAAAUAAAAUAAACUGAAGUAAGAGACCUAGAAAACCUGUUUUAGAAAGUAGAUACAAGAAGGCAGGAAACCUUUUCUCUAAGGAAGACAAGAGGUACCAGAAGCCAUUCGUUACAUUUUUUGGAAGUAUAGGAAAACUGAUAGGUUGGGGCUUGAACUGAUGAUGAAGUACGUGGUGAAGGUCUGUGGCUGGGCAUGGGCAAAUUGUAUGCACCUGUGCUCCCCUCUUGACCAGAAGAGUUGGACCCAAGGUGGAGCCACUCUGGGCUCCAAUAAAGGCCAGCCACUGGAGGGAGAGCAUCUCUCAGACCUAAGCUGCUUCCUGAGAAAAAGUGCUGUAUUGCCAGAAAACCCCUUCACCAGCUGGGUGAGUUCUAUCCUUUUUGUAUAUGACUGUUGGUCUACCUGCAAGUAGUUUGCCUGGUAUUGCCAAGAACCUGUCAGAAGCAAUUUUGCUUCUUUGUGAGAGCAGGAAAACUAUCUUGAGGGCUUCCUUUUUUUUUUCUCCUCUAUAUUUCUGUCAGAAGAAAAGGAGGCAGUGAGCUUCCCUGUCUUCUUCCUCUCUGCCUAAGUUUACACAGAAAGGAUCCCCUCUAGGGAUUCACAAUAAUGCAAUAUUUUACUUCAGUUCGCAUUAAAAAUCUUCUUCAGUGUUUACAUCAACAAAAGGAAGUUCCUUGCAACUGAACAGCCUAUCAAUGAUAAUAUCUGCAAUGGGCCUGGCUCUGUUUAUCUGAAGCAAAAAUAAGUAUUUGUUUCAUGACAAAUGGGAAGUCCACGGAAGAAACUUCAUUAUAUAUUUUGUAGUAAGGUUCUGUGACCCUUGGGCAUAAAACCAUAAAGCACUGGAGAUGACUACUUGACUUUUCCAAUUUUCUUAUUAUACACACUCCUCUCCAGACUUUCUGCAAUCAGUCUUUGUCUUUGAUUGCUCUGCAGUUUCCGACUCCAUUUCAGAGCCAGCUGUGCAGGAAUAGCUGUGUUUUUCUCCUCCAACCUAGUGGUCAAUUUCACCAACUGAAGAAAGCUUUUAACUAUGCAUUUCUUAAUGUGUACAAAUCUGUUAAAAUAAAUAUGAACUUCAGGCUCUGUGUGAAGUAUUUUGUGAUCCUCUGUACAUGUCUGCAACCUUCCUAUUUCUCGACCUCUGAAACGUUAAAAAUUGCUGGUCAGUAAUGAGGUAAAGAGCUCUGACAUCCUUGAACCCAUGGCUGCAAUAUGAUCCAUUUAGCUUUCCAUCUGUUUCUUACGAAUGGAAAAGCACAAUUAUAUGCAUACCAAACGUGUAAAAUUGAAUAUUUACGUGUCCGAAUAGUUGAGAAGUUCAAUUCAUGAACUGUGUACUCAGGUUGUGUGUCAGCAGGAGCGCAGUUCGGAGCACUGAAGUGAGUCGGGCUGAGCGCGGUGUGCCGCGUAGGAGGCGGCCGUGAAUCGCCUUGGUUUUAAAAUCGCUCCUCGUGCCGAUGGUCCGGGCGCCCCGCGGACACGUCAGGCACGUGAAGCCGGGAAGCCCGGCGGGGCACGAGCGGUGCCCCGGGACUGGAGACCGCGUGCCGCCUGCUUUUUAACAAAGUGAUUUAAUGUUUAUUUCUGUAAUUUCCCCCGCUUCGCAUCGCCUCGUCUCGCUCAGUUCCCGCCUUCUCGCCCCUCGGAGGAGCCGCCCC